AGAUCAAUAAUCCGAAACCAGUUUUAUGCAAAGAACUAAGACCUGUUUAGCAUACACUGAUAUGUCCAUCAUUUUCAAAACUUGUAUAUGCCAAGGUACCACUUUGGAAGCAACAUAUAAGAACCAUGACAUACAUAUUCAAUGUUCAUUGCAUAUAUAAGUUGAAUUGUGAAAUGAGAUCAUUGCAGGGCACGUUUGUGCCACAAUUUACUAUCAACUGAAAGAUAUAAAUGCUUACUAAAGCAUACAUAUAUAUAACACUAAGAGCUGUUGGCUUACCUUGCAGAUUUAGAAUGUGGAAGCUUAUAGUAUCCAGCAUGGUGAGCAAAAUUUUGAAUAGAAGGACCAGGAGCAUCAAUAACUGGGAAUUUGAAUUGCUUUUCAACAAUCUUUGAAGGCUCAUUUGUAAGGUCUUCAUUGACACCUUCAUUAGCAGCAUGUCUUGGGAACAAAUUAAGCCCUCGUAUGAGCUUUUCUGCUUGUAUUUUUGCAGUGGGAGAUGAGUGAAGUUGGGUUUUCCAUGGUGAAACAGCCUUGGCCAACAAUGGUGAAACCAGCA
rnacentral:lncRNA from 1 species